GACGAACGCUGGCGGCGUGCUUAACACAUGCAAGUCGAACGGAAAGGCCCUGCUUUUGUGGGGUGCUCGAGUGGCGAACGGGUGAGUAGCACGUGAGUAACCUGCCCUUGACUUUGGGAUAACUUCAGGAAACUGGGGCUCAUAUCGGAUAGGAGCUCCUGCUGCAUGGUGGGGGUUGGAAAGUUUCGGCUGUUGGGGAUGGACUCGCGGCUUAUCAGUUUGUUGGUGGGGUAGUUGCUGACCAAGGCUUUGACGGGUAGCCGGCAUGAGAGGGUGAACGGCGACAAUGCGACUGAGAUACGGCGCAGACGCCUACGGGAGGCAGCAGUGGGAAAUACUGCACAAUGGGGGGGAGCCUGAUGCAGCGGCGCCGCGUGCGGGAUGACGGCCUUCGGGUUGUAAACCGCUUUCGCCUGAGACGAGGCGUGAGUGACGGUAAUGGGUAAAGAAGCACCGGCUAACUACGUG
rnacentral:rRNA from 1 species